AGUGAACGCUGGCGGUAGGCCUAACACAUGCAAGUCGAACGGCAGCACAGUAAGAGCUUGCUCUUACGGGUGGCGAGUGGCGGACGGGUGAGGAAUACAUCGGAAUCUACUUUUUCGUGGGGGAUAACGUAGGGAAACUUACGCUAAUACCGCAUACUACCUACGGGUGAAAGCAGGGGAUCUUCUGACCUUGCGCGAUUGAAUGAGCCGAUGUCGGAUUAGCUAGUUGGCGGGGUAAAGGCCCACCAAGGCGACGAUCCGUAGCUGGUCUGAGAGGAUGAUCAGCCACACUGGAACUGAGACACGGUCCAGACUCCUACGGGAGGCAGCAGUGGGGAAUAUUGGACAAAGGGCGCAAGCCUGAUCCAGCCAUACCGCGUGGGUGAAGAAGGCCUUCGGGUUGUAAAGCCCUUUUGUUGGGAAAGAAAAGCAGCAGGUUAAUACCCCGCUGUUAUGACGGUACCCAAAGAAUAAGCACCGGCUAACUUCGUG
rnacentral:rRNA from 1 species